AUUGAACGCUGGCGGCAGGCUUAACACAUGCAAGUCGAGCGGGGUGAUGGUGCUUGCACUAUCACUUAGCGGCGGACGGGUGAGUAAUGCUUAGGAAUCUGCCUAUUAGUGGGGGACAACAUCUCGAAAGGGAUGCUAAUACCGCAUACGUCCUACGGGAGAAAGCAGGGGAUCACUCGUGACCUUGCGCUAAUAGAUGAGCCUAAGUCGGAUUAGCUAGUUGGUGGGGUAAAGGCCUACCAAGGCGACGAUCUGUAGCGGGUCUGAGAGGAUGAUCCGCCACACUGGGACUGGGACACGGCCCAGACUCCUACGGGAGGCAGCAGUGGGGAAUAUUGGACAAUGGGGGGAACCCUGAUCCAGCCAUGCCGCGUGUGUGAAGAAGGCCUUAUGGUUGUAAAGCACUUUAAGCGAGGAGGAGGCUUUUUUGGUUAAUACCCAAGAUGAGUGGACGUUACUCGCAGAAUAAGCACCGGCUAACUCUGUGCCAGCCGCCGCCGUAA
rnacentral:rRNA from 1 species